UGAAAUGCAGUGUCACUAAUGAAACCCUAAUAACUAUAAUGUAGGACCAAAUUUGAUGCAGGACAACCUACUAAUGCAAUCUAUUAUGAUUUCAGAAAUCAGCAAGUCUGCACAAUAAUAACUUAAAAUUUAAAUGUUGCUGAUUUUUACUUCGGUUAUUCAGAAUUAAGGAUUAAGAUUAUUCAAUUUAAGAAGUUAGAUUGCAAUCAAGUAGUACAGUUGUUCUGAUCCUAAAUCAAUCUGAUCGAAGAAUGUUGAGAAGCAUCCAGUUGUUAGGGUGUGCUAAUUUAAUAUUUAGAUUUUAAAAGGGCAAAUAGGAUGGGUUUGAAAGUAGGGGUUCUACGUUCUGAAUUUUGACAACAAUAUAAAUUUUCAAGUAUAUGGCUAUCAUGCAAGAGAACUAGAACAUAAUUAAAUGAACAAGCCCAAGAAA
rnacentral:lncRNA from 1 species